AGGGCUGUGGUGAAUGGAUGAACGUAU
rnacentral:piRNA from 1 species